CAUUUUCAAUAAAUGAAAAGAGCACGGACCGAGGCAGCAGCGGCACGGGAAGGAGAAAUUUCCUUAAGAUGUGGACACAUAAUGAUAAACAUAAGCCGGCAACAGCUCGGGGGUCCCCUCGGGAGCAAACAGCUCUGUUCUCGAUAAGGAACAUCUAAGGAGCAUGGAAAAGGAAGGAAAUUCCAAAGGAGGGGUGCAGAAGGAAAAGGGGGACAACCAGAUGGCCACCAGAUCAGCCACAACCAGAAGACAGCUACAAGUGGUUUUCAUAUUUUACACAUCUAUAUCUUACACAAUCCAUUCGAGUGGCUAUAGAGCUGUACGCUGUUCUCAAGGCUCCUGCGUGAGGAAUCUAAAGGUAUCAUCAGAGAUGAAUCAUGGGCCUGCUGAUAAUUCAAACGGCAACAGCGAUGACAAGAGGAAGUGAGGGGGCACAGUGGAAAUGAACAGAUCGCAUGCAUUUGUAAUUUGGGGGCAAUUGCUCCAUUUGGUUAGAAAUAUAAGAAUGAAACCCCAAAAUGUCUACUUGAGAAAGUCGAGAAAACUAAAGUGAGGAGCUUACAAUUAAAAAUACUACUCUAUGGUCUGCAGCUAAGUGGACUCGUUUCUUGGCUAGCAAUCGAAUAUCCUUUCUCUACC